GACGAACGCUGGCGGCGUGCUUAACACAUGCAAGUCGAACGGAAAGGCCCUGCUUUUGUGGGGUGCUCGAGUGGCGAACGGGUGAGUAACACGUGAGUAACCUGCCCUUGACUUUGGGAUAACUUCAGGAAACUGGGGCUAAUACCGGAUAGGAGCUCCUGCUGCAUGGUGGGGGUUGGAAAGUUUCGGCGGUUGGGGAUGGACUCGCGGCUUAUCAGCUUGUUGGUGGGGUAGUGGCUUACCAAGGCUUUGACGGGUAGCCGGCCUGAGAGGGUGACCGGGCACAUUGGGAAUGAGAUACGGCCCCGAAUCCUACGGGGGGGAGGAGUGGGGGAUAUUGCAAAAAGGGGGGAAGCCUGAUGCAGCAACGCCGCGUGCGGGAUGACGGCCCUCGGGUUGUAAACCGCUUUCGCCUGUGAAGAAGGGGGAGGGACGGUAAUGGGUAAAGAAGCACCGGCUAAAUACGGG
rnacentral:rRNA from 1 species